AUUAAAGAGUUCUAUAACUCCCAAACCCAUGUGAACAUACCUAACGUUGCCUCGGCAGGUCGCACCUACCUUGUAGCACCCUACCCUGUAGGGCCUACCCGGGAGAUGCGGGUAAGCCUGCCGGCGGCCCACCAAACUCUGUUUGAUAUUGAAUUCUGAACAUAUAACUAAAUAAGUUAAAACUUUCAACAACGGAUCUCUUGGUUCUGGCAUCGAUGAAGAACGCAGCGAAAUGCGAUAAGUAAUGUGAAUUGCAGAAUUCAGUGAAUCAUCGAAUCUUUGAACGCAUAUUGCGCCCAUUAGUAUUCUAGUGGGCAGGACCGUUCGAGCGUCAUUUCGACCCUUAAGCCUUAGUUGCUUAGUGUUGGGAGCCUACGGCAACGUAGCUCCUCAAAGUUAGUGGCGGAGUUGGUUCACACUCUAGACGUAGUAAUUUUUUAUCUCGCCUAUUAGUUGGACUGAUCCCCUGCCGUAAAACCCCCAACUUAUCAAGGUUGACCUCGAAUCGGUUCAGACAAACUCGCUAAAUUGAAGCAUCUUAGUCAGCGAAGGAAAAGAAACCAACAGGGAUUGCCCUAGUAACGGCGAGUGAAGCGGCAACAGCUCAAAUUU
rnacentral:rRNA from 1 species